ensembl:lncRNA
GUUAAAGUAACAUAGAAGUACGCCUCGAGGUGCAGGGAAGGCAGCAGUUUGCACCUGAGUGCUGGUGCCUCGAGUUGAAGGUUGCUGCAGAUGUUUUCUCCCGUGAGUGAUGCACCCUGCCACAGUGCAGCCAUCGGCCAGUCUUGGAAAGACCAGCCAAGUCCCACGUCUCGCUGGUGGAAAGCUGGCAACCACAAGGAGUGAGUUAGCAGCUUCCUAAAAUUUCCACCUCGUGAUAGAGUUUUCUUAGGCGACCUCUGGUCGAAAGGGCCGGACUUGCCCGUGAAUGAUCAGUAGGCCACCUCCUUGGUCCGUGCAGUCUUUGGAGCCACUCCAGACCGAAAGGCAGGCGCUUUCUGGAGCAGAGUGCAGAGCAUGCAGGACCUGCUCUUCCAUGGAGGGAACAAGUCCUGCCAAGUCCUGCCUACCUUUGCAAGGAUCUCCAGCGAUUUAUAUCUUGGUGAAGCCCCAUGCCAGACUACGCCUUCUCAGAUUUCAGCCUUGGCUCCACAUAAUCAGAUAAAAAUAUCCAUUUCAUGGCAGAAGGAUGACCUUAGCUCCAAAUCAGGGCACCAAGGACCAGCAGCACUGUCCUCACAGCCCUUGGCUUUUCAUUGGCCUCUUCCACCACUGCUAUUUGAAGAAAGAGAGAACAGAAAAUCUUCAAAACUGAGAGGUACAAAGGGUACAAAGAUCCUACUUAGAAGGGAUAGGCUGCCUGGAAAGGGAGGAAGGACUUUGACUAGAACCAGAAGACUGAGCAGAGUGAUGGGUGAACCAGAGCUACACACCAUUGCUUCAAAGAUACUUGUCCAACCUCAAAGGACCACAGGAAGCAAAAAUAAAUAUCCUCUUGGAUAA